AGGUGCACUGCGUCACAGUGGUAAUCAAAGGAGCAGCUGAAAUCAUGUUAGGGGAAAGAAGGAAGGAAAGAAAGGACUGGGCGAUGGCUUAGUCUGUAAAAGUUCUUGCCAUCAAGCGUGAGGGACCUGAGCUGGGACCCAGCAGCCACAGGAAAAGCAAGUUGCCUCCUCUCUUGCCGGCCAGCCAGCUGGGAGGAGAGACCCUGCGGAUGGAACCAGAUGGAGCAGUUUUUGCCGAUCACACCUCUUGGCCUGAGCCAGCCUGAAAGCUGCAGGAGUAGACGGAGGUGUGGCCUUGUUGGAGUCGGGAUGUCAACGUGCAGGUAGGCUUUGAGAUCUCGCAUGCUCAGGCUGCGCCCAGUGUGGCACACAGUCUUCCUCAGCUCCUUCUCCAGCACCAUGUCUGCCUGUACACCACCAUGCUUCUUGUCCUGACGAUAAUGGACGAAACCUCUGAGACUCUAAGCCAGCCGUGGUCGCUCUGCCUCUGUUUAUCUCCCCUCCCCUGCUUCCUCUGACUUUCUCUCGGGGGGGGGGCAACCCCCCUCUUCCUCUUCUCCUACACUCUCCCACUGUCUGUCACUCUCUCUCUCCCCACCCCUGUAUAAU